GGGCCCGCACAAGCGGUGGAGCAUGUGGAUUAAUUCGAUGAUACGCGAGGAACCUUACCAGGGCUUAAAUGGCGUUGGACCGCUGCCGAAAGGUGGCUUUUCUUCGGAACUGAUGUCAAGGUGCUGCAUGGCUGUCGUCAGCUCGUGCCGUGAGGUGUUGGUUAAGUCCCGCAACGAGCGCAACCCCUUUCUUUAGUUGCUAGCAGGUAAUGCUGAGGACUCUAAAGAUACUGCCUACGUAAGUAGUGAGGAAGGUGGGGACGACGUCAAGUCAUCAUGGCCCUUACGUCCUGGGCUUCACACGUGCUACAAUGGCGAUUACAAUGAGCAGCCACUUGGCAACAAGGAGCAAA
rnacentral:rRNA from 1 species